AGUUAGGAGCCUUUCAGCAUGAGAAGGGAAAGCUGCCCCCUCAGCAGGGCUGAGGCUCGGAGUCCAUCCUAGAUGAUGUUGUGAGCAUUCCCCCAGAACUCAGCAAGGACACAAAGUGCCAAGUGAAUGAUGCUGUGGGGUGUCUUUACAAGAAUAGCAUUACCUUAAAUAAACUAGUCAUCCUUGACUACAGGAAGAAGAUCUAGAGUGGUUUGGAGCAGGAGCUGGUUUUCUGGAGCUUACUCCCCUCCAUCAGCUAUGCUACGCUAGAAAACAGCCACGUGUGGAAGUGCUAACUGAGAUGACAAAUCAGUACAUGGCAAACCUGGGGAAACCACCAAGGUAGCUGUGCUGCAGGUUCUCUGCAUCGCUGCAGAGCCAGCGUAUCGUGAGCUGUCCUCAGAAAGCCCUGGAGCAUUCUGGGCUCUGUGUCCUCUAAAACAUGCUGCAGCCACCAGACAACAAACUCGCAGGCUGCUGUAAGGACUGACGUGUGCUUGGCAGCUCCUGGUGUGAUUGAGGCGGAAUGAGUUUCCUCUGAUCAUCUCACUGCAGGUACUGGGCUGAGGAUGCUGAAUCCUACCUGUAUCAAGGACUUCUGCAAGGAUCCUCCCUUGUGGCUGAAAAUCUCUAUGGGAAUGAGUGCUCAUGUUCAUGUUUCUGAAUUUUGUACAUAUCUUUCUACUUCAAUCAGCAAUUGUCAGCGAGUCUAAAUUGAAUGCAGCUUGUACACGUAUUUCUUUGGGCAUCAUGGCCAUAAACAAGGCUCGGUGGUUUCAACCCUGUCUGCCAACAGUGCCAACUUUCAUGCUGUCAUUCCUUUUUCUCCCUUCUCCUCCUCUCAGUUCCCAUCAUCUGGCCUUCUGACUUGCCAAGAACUACUACCUGUUCUUUGGGAAAUGUUCUUGCUAUGAGUUACCCACGGAAAGUCUGAGAGGGUAAAUAUAUCUGGUUUAUUUUGAGGAAAUUUGCAUAGGUGACCAUAGCUCUUGCAUUUCUGAGUGCAUAUCUUUCUACCCAGCUUGUCAUCUGUAUGUAGAGCCUCUGAGACUGUGGUGGCUUCUGCACGUGCAAAAUCUGUUUUGUUGAGUGAAUGUCAAUGCUUUCUGGAUGUAAACCUGUGUAUAUAAAAUCAAGGCUUGAAACAGGAGAUUUGAGGAUGUAUGGUGUCCCUCGCGUCUUGACCUUGGGAAUCAAGGCUGGCAGAAGUGAUAACACCAGAUUAUUACCUUUCUUCUUCUUAACCAGCAAAAGAUGAGGAAAGUGGAAAUCAAAAGGUGAUUUCUAGCAGUUGUUCAGUGGAGAAUACAGUAAGCUUGGGGCCGUGUGGGACCUGCACUGACCUCAGCCCCCACCAAAGUCCUUCCAGCAUCACUGCUGAAAUGUCAUCUGGUAGCCACUGAGUAGGACGGCAGGCACAGGGGCUUCCCCACAACCUGCCACUAUUAUUAGGCUGCUUACAUCUCCCUUUUGUGGGCUUGCAGGCAGCUCACUGUGGGGCACAAAGUGAAGAAUAAAAGUCUGUUCUGGG
rnacentral:lncRNA from 7 species